rnacentral:rRNA from 1 species
AUGCAUGUCAUAGAUUGGACUAUGAGAGGGCAAGAGCGGUGUUGGUAUGCCAACAACGAGAACAAGGAAGAGGUGGAGAUGUCACAAUUCAAGAAGUUGAGCCAAUCAAAUGAAGGUUAUGAUGUGGUAAAUGAGCUCUUCUCUUGGCAAUCCAUUCGUGGACGUGGGCCAUUAGGUUUAAAGUUAACGAAAACACCUGCUCUUUUGGAGCUUAUACAAAAGAAGCUCACAUUAACCUCCAAAGGAAAAGGAAAGCAAACAACAUGUGACGUACAAACAAUAUCUACUGCAAUACAAGGAAGGAAGCCCUGUUCACAAAAGUUGCAGGCUUCCAAUUUUCAAGCUUCCUCUCUUAGAAUUGGGGACUGGGAGUGGAAAUCAAUAUAUGAAGGAGAUAUUGUUGCAAAAUUUUAUAUUUCCAAGAAUAAAUUGGCAUGGGAAAUACUCCAUGAAGGUCUGAAGAGCAAGAUAGAGAUAAAAUGUUCAGACAUAUGUGCCUUGAGAAUAACUUGUCCCAAAGAUUUACCCGGGAUGCUGGAUAUUGUGGUGUCCGCGGUGCCACAAUUUUUCAUAGAAACCAAUCCACAGCCACGCAGGAGCACCAGGUGGCUUGCAACUACGGAUUUUACUGGUGGACAAGCAAGUACGCACAGUAGGCAUGUUCUACAGUGUGGCCCAGGGAUAAUGGACAAGCACAUUGAGAAUCUCCUCCACAAAGACCAACGUCUAUAUUUAUUAAGUCAGAGCACCAAAAAUUCAUAUCGUAGCAAUUAUGACAACCUGUUUGAGACUGGACAAACUCGGCAGUCAUUGCCACUUCAACCGAUGCCAACUGGAACAAUGACAUUAGGGCUAAAUGAUUCUGGAGCCCUGCAAGGUGUACACUUUCAAAGCUCAGGGCAGCGAGCUCCACUGAAGGAGGACAUGCUUAACUGGAAAUACUUUUUGGGCACGCCUCUCGGGUCACAACCUACCUCCAUGUCCAACUCUAAUGCCGGUAUCAUGUAUAGUAACUUUGGAAACCGCUUCGACAAUCACAUCAGUUCAUGGAACUUAUCUCCCAGUGCUGAUUACUCAUCAUUGCGUGAGAUGUAUGACUUGAAUGGCAGCCAUACCUUGUUGCCGAGUAACAGCAACUUAUCAUCGGAGACAAUGACACUUGAGCAGCUACGAGAAAACUUAUUGAGCGACAACGAGAUCGUGAAUGUGGUGGACGAAGAGGAUCUCAUGAGCAUGGUGAACUCCCUUUCCUGUUUGAUUGGGAAGAGUUCCCACUCCCAGGCAAACAAUAAUCUGGUCGCUCCUCCUCCUCUAGAUCUUGAACCAACCCAAGUCAUCAACGUUCCUCCUCCUGGAAGCAGCCCUCCAUGGACGGAGUGGCCAGGCUCACCAUGA